UACGUAGGGGGCUAGCGUUGUCCGGAAUUAUUGGGCGUAAAGAGCUCGUAGGCGGUCUGUCGCGUCGGACGUGAAAAUCCAGGGCUCAACCCUGGACCUGCGUUCGAUACGGGCAGACUAGAGUUCGGUAGGGGAGACUGGAAUUCCUGGUGUAGCGGUGAAAUGCGCAGAUAUCAGGAGGAACACCGGUGGCGAAGGCGGGUCUCUGGGCCGAAACUGACGCUGAGGUGCGAAAGCGUGGGGAGCAAACAGG
rnacentral:rRNA from 1 species